AGAUUGAACGCUGGCGGCAGGCCUAACACAUGCAAGUCGAGCGGUAGAGAGGUGCUUGCAUCUCUUGAGAGCGGCGGACGGGUGAGUAAUGCCUAGGAAUCUGCCUAGUGGUGGGGGAUAACGUUCGGAAACGGACGCUAAUACCGCAUACGUCCUACGGGAGAAAGGCGGGGGACCUUCGGGCCUCGCGCCAUCAGAUGAGCCUAGGUCGGAUUAGCUAGUUGGUGAGGUAAUGGCUCACCAAGGCGACGAUCCGUAACUGGUCUGAGAGGAUGAUCAGUCACACUGGAACUGAGACACGGUCCAGACUCCGUACGGGAG
rnacentral:rRNA from 1 species